rnacentral:rRNA from 1 species
CGAAGCAACGCGAAGAACCUUACCUAAGCUUGACAUCCCAAUGACAUCUCCUUAAUCGGAGAGUUCCCUUCGGGGACAUUGGUGACAGGUGGUGCAUGGUUGUAGUCAGCUCGUGUCGUGAGUUGUUGAGUUAAGUCCCGCAACGAGCGCAACCCUUGUCUUUAAUUGCCGUCAAUAAGUUGGUCACUCUAGAGAGACUGCCAGGGAUAACCUGGAGGAAGGUGGGGAUGACGUCAAAUCAUCAUGCCCCUUAUGCUUAGGGCUACACACGUGCUACAAUGGGUAGUACAGAGGGUUGCCAAGCCGUAAGGUGGAGCUAAUCCCUUAAAGCUACUCUCAGUUCGGAUUGUAGGCUGAAACUCGCCUACAUGAAGCUGGAGUUACUAGUAAUCGCAGAUCAGAAUGCUGCGGUGAAUGCGUUCCCGGGUCUUGUACACACCGCCCGUCACACCACGGGAGUUGGAGACGCCCGAAGCCGAUUAUCUAACCUUUUGGAAGAAGUCGUCGAAGGUGGAAUCAAUAACUGGGGUGAAGUCGUAACAAGGUAGCCGUAUCGGAAGGUGCGGCUGGAUCACCUCCUUUCUAAGGA